rnacentral:rRNA from 1 species
AUUGAACGCUGGCGGCAUGCCUUACACAUGCAAGUCGAACGGCAGCACGGGGGCAACCCUGGUGGCGAGUGGCGAACGGGUGAGUAAUGCAUCGGAACGUGUCCUCUUGUGGGGGAUAACCAGUCGAAAGAUUGGCUAAUACCGCAUGAGAUCGAGAGAUGAAAGCGGGGGACCCGAGGGUAACUUCGGGCCUCGCGCGAGAGGAGCGGCCGAUGCCGGAUUAGCUAGUUGGUGGGGUAAGAGCCUACCAAGGCGACGAUCCGUAGCUGGUCUGGGAGGACGACCAGCCACACUGGGACUGAGACACGGCCCAGACUCCUACGGGAGGCAGCAGUGGGGAAUUUUGGACAAUGGGCGCAAGCCUGAUCCAGCCAU